rnacentral:tRNA from 1 species
CAAAAUAGGGCUUGGUUAGUAAAGUAUUUCAUUUACAAUGAAUUGAGAUCGUGCAAAUCGAUAUAUUUUGA